CCUACGGGAGGCAGCAGUGGGGAAUAUUGGGCAAUGGAGGCAACUCUUACCCAGCAAUGCCGCGUGAAUGAAGAAGGUCUUCGGAUUGUAAAGUUCUUUAAUUGGGGACGAAAAAACUGACGGUACCCAAGGAAUAAGCCCCGGCGAACUACGUGCCAGCAGCCGCGGUAUUACGUAGGGGGCAAGCGUUGUUCGGAAUGACUGGGCGUAAAGGGUGUGUAGGGGGGGUAGCAAGUUAGAAGGGAAAUACCUAGGGCUUAACCCAGGUGCUGCUUCUAAAACUGCUAUACUUGAGUGCAGUAGAGGAAAGUGGAAUUCCUGGUGUAGCGGUGGAAUGCGUAGAUAUUAGGAAGAACAUCAGUGGCGAAGGCGACUUUCUGGACUGUAACUGACGCUGAGGCACGAAAGUGUGGGGAGCAAACAGGAUUAGAUACCCGGGUAGUC
rnacentral:rRNA from 1 species